GACGAACGCUGGCGGCGUGCUUAACACAUGCAAGUCGAACGGAAAGGCCCUGCUUUUGUGGGGUGCUCGAGUGGCGAACGGGUGAGUAACACGUGAGUAACCUGCCUCUGACUUUGGGAUAACUUCAGGAAACUGGGGCUAAUACCGGAUAUGAGCUCCUGCUGCAUGGUGGGGGUUGGAAAGUUUCGGCGGUUGGGGAUGGACUCGCGGCUUAUCAGCUUGGUGGUGGGGUAGUGGCUUACCAAGGCUUUGACGGGUAGCCGGCCUGAGAGGGUGACCGGCGACAUGGGGACUGAGAUACGGCGCAGACUCAUACGGGAGGCAGCAGUGGGGAAUAUUGCACAAUGGGAGGAAGGCUGAUGCAGCAACGCCGCGUGCGGGAUGACGGCCUUCGGGUUGUAGACCGGUUGCGCCUGUGACGAAGCGUGAGUGACGGUAAUGGGUAAAGAAGCACCGGCUAACUACGUG
rnacentral:rRNA from 1 species